CUCCCUGAGCCUGGCAGGGACUGCCUCUGCCGGGAGUAGCCGGUUCCUGGAGAUGGUGAAUGAUGCCCCUGCCAGCGUGCUUUUCAGAUACAAACCAACCACUCCCGAGCACACACCCGGACCCCUACCCUUCAUCAGGAACCACACUAAAGCCUUCUGCCCACAAUCCCCAGCUUCCUGCCUCCUUGCUUCCCCCUGUGGAUCCUCGCGGCAGGCCGUGUGCACCCUCUCUGCUUGGGAACUAUUCAGGAUGUUUUCUCAUUUUGGAUUUUUGUCAUUCUACCAGUACCCAUUGAUUUAAGAGAUCUUCAUUCCAGUUGGAAUUGACUUCUGUGUAUGAAAUGAGGCUCUAACGAAAACCCAGGUCUCCCCUGAGGACACUUCCCCAAGGUCUUCGCAAGGGGUGGCUCUUGGUGCCCUCAUACCCCUCUCCCUUCUGAACUUGGAGAUGCUGUCGCUGUCUUCCUAGAUUUCACUGCUGCCUCGAGUCCCGCCGCGGUCCCCUGGCCACGUGCUUCCUUGGCCCCUGAAGGUCUGGCCACUGGCUGCUGUCAGGCUGCCCGAUACUGCGCCUGUCGUUGGUCUCAGGCGAAGCCACAUCCGUUCGGUGAGGUUCAUGACACCUGCUCGCCCAGCACACGCCCUCCUCUCCGGAUCGGGAGGGUGUCCUCGCCCUCUCUCAGUGCUCGAAGGCUUCCCUUGACUUUGCCAUCACUGCUGACUGUGACCGCUCCACAACCCAGUUCCAUGCAUCGAACUUCCAAACCAACCCUCUAACUGCACUCUUUCCGGCUCGGCCUAAUCCCCAAAUCCCUCAACUCGCCAACCGUCCAGGGAGCUACCGUCCAUUUUCCCAGCACCUUUCCAACUGCCCUGCCUGCUCCUUCCGCCUUUGCCUCCCUACUCAAUAAACUUGACUCUCAAAAACAUGAAUAAAGGA